CCUACGGGUGGCUGCAGUGAGGAAUAUUGGUCAAUGGACGAGAGUCUGAACCAGCCAAGUAGCGUGAAGGAUGACUGCCCUAUGGGUUGUAAACUUCUUUUAUAUGGGAAUAAAAUGUUCCACGUGUGGGUGUUUGUAUGUACCAUACGAAUAAGGAUCGGCUAACUCCGUGCCAGCAGCCGCGGUAAUACGGGGGAUCCGAGCGUUAUCCGGAUUUAUUGGGUUUAAAGGGUGCGUAGGUGGAUUGUUAAGUCAGUGGUGAAAGUUCGCGGCUCAACCGUAGAAUUGCAGUUGAAACUGGCAGUCUUGAGUACAGUAGAGGUAGGCGGAAUUCGUGGUGUAGCGGUGAAAUGCUUAGAUAUCACGAAGAACUCCGAUUGCGAAGGCAGCUCACUGGACUACAACUGACACUGAGGCUCGAAAGUGUGGGUAUCAAACAGGAGUAGAUACCCUUGUAGUC
rnacentral:rRNA from 1 species